AUUGAACGCUGGCGGCAUGCCUUACACAUGCAAGUCGAACGGUAACGCGGGGCAACCUGGCGACGAGUGGCGAACGGGUGAGUAAUGCAUCGGAACGUGCCCGGUAGUGGGGGAUAACUGCUCGAAAGAGCAGCUAAUACCGCAUACGACCUGAGGGAGAAAGGGGGGGAUCGCAAGACCUCUCGCUAUCGGAGCGGCCGAUGUCGGAUUAGCUAGUUGGUGGGGUAAAGGCCUACCAAGGCGACGAUCCGUAGCUGGUCUGAGAGGACGACCAGCCACACUGGGACUGAGACACGGCCCAGACUCCUACGGGAGGCAGCAGUGGGGAAUUGGACAAUGGACGCAAGUCUGAUCCAGCCAUGCCGCGUGCGGGAAGAAGGCCUUCGGGUUGUAAACCGCUUUUGUCAGGGAAGAAAUCUUCUGAGUUAAUACCUCGGGAGGAUGACGGUACCUGAAGAAUAAGCACCGGCUAACUACGUGCCAGCCGCCGCAGUAAAAC
rnacentral:rRNA from 1 species